ensembl:lncRNA
AGAAAAGUGAGGAAACAAGGAAGCAUCAGUUUGAGUAGUGAGAAGCACCCAGUGCACUUGCUGCUGCAUUUCCUGUUUAAGGUUGUUUGAGUCCAUUUGAGUGUUUACAGACUCUUUUGGUUGUUGGCUUUUGAAGCUGAUAACAUGAGGUUGAAUGUACAAAACACAAACUAAGUACUUCUCUGCCAAGAGUUUUUAAGUGUGACUGAAAGACUUUAUUCUUGUCAAAGACCAGUGUGAAAUGAAACCACUUCCUGUAUAGACUUAACACUUUUGAAGAUGCUAAUAAACAUUUUAAAGACCACACCUCAUCUGUGAAGACAAACUGACCAGCACAGUGUAUAAUGGAUUUAGAGGCUAUUUAUGGAAAUGUUGAAUGCAGAGAUAUUCAGAGCACAACUGGACCUCAAACUCAGAGUCACGGCCAGGAUGAACGAAAAGAUCUAAAGCGCAGAGGAAGUAGAUGUUUGGUGUUGAUCACAGUGGGUCUCGGGCUCAUUUGUGUUCUUCUGCUGGUCUUCAUCAUACUGCUGCACAUCACCAUCACAGCAGAGAGAGACCUGAUAAAGAGUUACAAGAACACAGCUGAAGAGUUCAAUCAAACCAUCAACAGCUUACAGAACAAUUACACUGAUCUAAUGACUGAAAAACACCAACUGCAGAACAACUUCAACUCUUUGAGUCGGAAGAAAGGGAAACUGGAGACCAGAGUCAAAGAUCUCACUGCUAAGAAAAACCAGUUACAGAGAGAUUUUGACUCUUUGAAUAAGAAAGGCCCAGUUUGUUUUUUCAUGUCUACUGAGUUGAAGAGCUGGUCUGACAGCAGACAGUACUGCAGGGAUCGUGGAGCUGAUCUGGUCAUUAUCAACACUGAAGAGAAGCAGAGGUUCAUAUCUUCAUUAGUCAGUGAGAGAGUGUGGAUUGGUUUGUCUGACACAGAGAACGAGGGCAACAUGAAAUGGGUGGAUAAUUCACCACUGAAACAAGGGUUUUGGCUCAAAGGUGAGCCAAACAACACUAACAAUGAGGACUGUAUUGAACUGAAUUAUAAUAGAGAGAAGCCGGGAUGGUCACCGCUGAACAGCUGGAAUGAUGAUCAAUGCUCUGCGAAGAAAAAGGGGAUUUGUGAGAAAUAGGGUUCAUCUCGUCUUGUGGUUUUGCUUUUAUUAUCUAAUAUAAUCAUUCUUAUUAUCAAUGCUGUUUCUGAUUGAGGUCCCUGCCUUAAAAAAAAAAAAAAAAAAAAAAAAAAAAAAAAACAAUUAGCUAAUCUGAAAUUUGUUAGAAGGACAUUGUAAAAAUGUAAUUAUUUUCUUAUUGCUGUAAUAAUCUUCAGUUUCUCAUGAUGUGAAUUUGGAUGAUCUGGGACUCCAAACCUCUGAUGUGUUCAUGUUUUGCUCCAUCACAAGCAGCUCUAUAUUAAUAUGAUCUUAUUCUAGCUGUGAUCAUGAGUCUCAUUUGUUGAUCUGAAGUGUUGAGGAGACAAUCACAGUAAACUACAGAAGUCUAAAGUGUCCAGACUGCCCUGAUUCACCCUCUUAUUCUGAUGUUGAGUGUCUGUAAUUUCUUUCUCUCUGAAUAAAUUUGUCACUAACCAUAGUAAACUGCA